rnacentral:rRNA from 1 species
UACGGAGGAUGCAAGCGUUAUCCGGAUUUACUGGGUUUAAAGGGUGUGUAGGCGGACUUUUAAGUCCGUGGUGAAAUCUCCGGGCUCAACCCGGAAACUGCCAUGGAUACUAUUGGUCUUGAAUAUUGUUGAGGUGGGCGGAACGGGUCAUGUAGCGGUGAAAUGCAUAGAUAUGACCCGGAACACCGAUUGCGAAGGCAGCCCACUAAGCAAUAAUUGACGCUGAGGCACGAAAGCGUGGGGAUCAAACAGGG